rnacentral:rRNA from 1 species
GCAAGUCGAACGGAAUUACAUGAAGCCUAGCGAUUGUAAAUUUAGUGGCGGACGGGUGAGUAACGCGUGGGUAACCUGCCUUGUACUGGGGGACAACAGUUGGAAACGACUGCUAAUACCGCAUAAGCGCACAGCUUCGCAUGAAGCAGUGUGAAAAACUCCGGUGGUACAAGAUGGACCCGCGUCUGAUUAGCUGGUUGGUGAGGUAACGGCCCACCAAGGCGACGAUCAGUAGCCGGCCUGAGAGGGUGAACGGCCACAUUGGGACUGAGACACGGCCCAAACUCCUACGGGAGGCAGCAGUGGGGAAUAUUGCACAAUGGGGGAAACCCUGAUGCAGCAACGCCGCGUGAGUGAAGAAGUAUUUCGGUAUGUAAAGCUCUAUCAGCAGGAAAGAAAAUGACGGUACCUGACUAAGAAGCCCCGGCUAACUACGUGCCAGCAGCCGCGGUAAUACGUAGGGGGCAAGCGUUAUCCGGAUUUACUGGGUGUAAAGGGAGCGUAGACGGUUUUGCAAGUCUGAAGUGAAAGCCCGGGGCUUAACCCCGGGACUGCUUUGGAAACUGUAGGACUAGAGUGCAGGAGAGGUAAGUGGAAUUCCUAGUGUAGCGGUGAAAUGCGUAGAUAUUAGGA